ACGCACGCUGGCGGCGUGCUUAACACAUGCAAGUCGCACGGAAAGGCCCUGCUUUUGUGGGGUGCUCGAGUGGCGAACGGGUGAGUAACACGUGAGUAACCUGCCCUUGACUUUGGGAUAACUUCAGGAAACUGGGGCUAAUACCGGAUAGGAGCUCCUGCUGCAUGGUGGGGGUUGGAAAGUUUCGGCGGUUGGGGAUGGACUCGCGGCUUAUCAGCUUGUUGGUGGGGUAGUGGCUUACCAAGGCUUUGACGGGUAGCCGGCCUGAGAGGGUGACCGGCCACAUUGGGACUGAGAUACGGCCCAGACUCCUACGGGAGGCAGCAGUGGGGAAUAUUGCACAAUGGGCGGAAGCCUGAUGCAGCAACGCCGCGUGCGGGAUAACGGCCUUCGGGUUGUAAACCGCUUUCGCCUGUGACGAAGCGUGAGUGACGGUAAUGGGUAAAGAAGCACCGGCUAACUACGUG
rnacentral:rRNA from 1 species